UACGGAGGUUCCAAGCGUUAUCCGGAUUUAUUGGGUUUAAAGGGUGCGUAGGCGGCCUGUUAAGUCAGGGGUGAAAGACGGUAGCUUAACUAUCGCAGUGCCCUUGAUACUGAUGGGCUUGAAUGAACUAGAGGUAGGCGGAAUGUGACAAGUAGCGGUGAAAUGCAUAGAUAUGUCACAGAACACCAAUUGCGAAGGCAGCUUACUAUGGUUUUAUUGACACUGAGGCACGAAAGCGUGGGGAUCAAACAGG
rnacentral:rRNA from 1 species